AGAUUAAUAUUUUUGUGUUUCUUCUCUAUCUCUUUCUCUUUCUCUCUCACACGAUUCUCUUUACUUCUCCUUUCUUCCAUGUCUUCUCUGUCUAGUACUUCUCUUGAUCUGUCUUCUUGCUGGACGCCAUCGGAGCUUCUCGGCGUAGUGGUAGAAGAGGCAGAGGAGAUUGAUGGAGGAGGAGUUAGCAGAGGUGGUGGUGGCUCGUGACUCGUGUGCAGGACCGGCUUGAAGGGUGAAGAAGAAGAAGCUACGGUGAGGAAGCAGAAGAAGCGUGAUGGCGGAGCAGGCGUGACGCGUUGCUUCAUCCGUUACACCGGUGGCUCCAGAAGCAGAUCGAGUCGCCACUUCAGACGUAGCAUCCGGAGCCAGUGGAGGUGUCUGUGGUGAAGCCGGUGGUGGAGUCGGUGGUUGAGCCUGUGUAUAUAUUUGUGUGUAUAUAUGCAUCUAUUCAUAAUUUGUAACUUAAUUAAUAAAAAUUUAGCAUUUUUGAUUUU